GCAGACGUAGCUCAGUUGGUUAGAGCGUCGGAUUGUGGCUCCGAAGGUCGGUGGUUCAAAUCCACUCGUCUGUA
rnacentral:tRNA from 1 species